UCGAGAAUUUUUCGCAAUGGGCGCAAGCCUGACGAAGCGACGCCGUGUGAGCGAAGAAGGCCUUCGGGUUGUAAAGCUCUUUCGCUUGGGGACAAGAGAGAUGUGCUAAUAACACAUUGAUUUGAGGGUACCAGGUAAAGAAGCACCGGCUAACUCCGUGCCAGCAGCUGCGGUAAUACGGAGGGUGCAAGCAUUGAUCGGAAUUACUGGGCGUAAAGGGCGCGUAGGCGGUAUGGUAAGUCAGAUGUGAAAUUCCGCGGCUCAACUGCGGAGCUGCAUAUGAAACUGCCAAACUAGAGUGUAGUUAGGGAAAACGGAAUUCCACGUGUAGCGGUGAAAUGCGUAGAUAUGUGGAAGAACACCGGUGGUGAAGACGGUUUUCUGGGCUAUAACUGACGCUGAGGCGCGAAAGCUAGGGGAGCAAACAGGAUUAGAUACCCCCGUAGUCC
rnacentral:rRNA from 1 species